GUACUACACAAGCUUCAGUCUAGGAAGAAUGGAGAAGAUCCUGAAAGUGUCAUUAUUAGUCCUAACCCUUCACCUAGCCUGGGUGAGUGGCCAGCAGGAGAGACCUGACCGGCAGCAGGUGAGACAAAGCCCCCAAUCUCUGACAGUCUGGGAAGGAGAGACUUCAGUUCUAAACUGCACUUAUGAGGACAGCGCAUUUAACUACUUCCCAUGGUACCGGCAGUUCCCUGUUGAAGGCCCUGCAUUACUGAUAGACAUACGUUCAGUGUCGAACAAAAAGGAAGAUGGACGAUUCACAGUCUUCUUUAGUAAAAGUGAUAAACAGUUCUCCUUGCACAUCAGAGAUUCUCAGCCUGGAGACUCAGCCACCUACUUCUGUGCAGCAAGUGCACAGUGA